rnacentral:rRNA from 1 species
AGUAAUGCCUAGGAAUCUGCCUGGUAGUGGGGGACGAACGUUUCGAAAGGAACGCUAAUACCGCAUACGUCCUACGGGAGAAAGCAGGGACCUUCGGGCCUUGCGCUAUCAGAUGAGCCUAGGUCGGAUUAGCUAGUUGGUGAGGUAAUGGCUCACCAAGGCGACGAUCCGUAACUGGUCUGAGAGGAUGAUCAGUCACACUGGAACUGAGACACGGUCCAGACUCCUACGGGAGGCAGCAGAG